UUCUGGUUGAUCCUGCCGGAGGCUACCGCUAUUGGAGUUCGAUUAAGCCAUGCGAGUCGAGAGUCUUAGGGACUCGGCGUACCGCUCAGUAACACGUGGGUAACCUGCCCUAUGCUGGGGAAUAACCUCGGGAAACUGAGAAUAAUACCCCGUAGUUCACCACGCCUGGAACGGUGGGUGGAUGAAAGCUCCGGCGGCAUAGGAUGGGCCUGCGACGUAUCAGGUUGUAGGGGGUGUAACGUACCCUCUAGCCAUCAACGCGUACGGGUGUUGGGAGACAUAGCCCGGAGAUGGAUUCUGAGACACGAAUCCAGACCCUACGGGGUGCAGCAGGCGCGAAAACUUGGCAAUGCGAGCAAUCGUGACCAGGGAACUCCAAGUGGCUGGGGUAAUACCCAGUUUUUUCUUGACUCUUCAAAGGUCUUGGAAUAAGGGGUGGGUAAGGACGGUGCCAGCCGCCGCGGUAAUACCGGCGCCUCAAGUGGUAGUCGCUUUUAUUGGGCCUAAA
rnacentral:rRNA from 1 species